rnacentral:tRNA from 1 species
CCGCGACAUGGCCGAUAAGGAUGGAAGUCGCGGCGCUGGCGAUGCCGCUGAUAUUGUGGUGCUCGGCAAGCCAGUAGCGGU